rnacentral:rRNA from 1 species
GACGAACGCUGGCGGCGUGCUUAACACAUGCAAGUCGAACGAUGAUGCCCAGCUUGCUGGGCGGAUUAGUGGCGAACGGGUGAGUAACACGUGAGUAACCUGCCCUUGACUUCGGGAUAACUCCGGGAAACCGGGGCUAAUACCGGAUAUGAGCCGUCCUCGCAUGGGGGUGGUUGGAAAGUUUUUCGGUCAGGGAUGGGCUCGCGGCCUAUCAGCUUGUUGGUGGGGUGAUGGCCUACCAAGGCGACAACGAGUAGCCGGCCUGAGAGGGCGACCGGCCACACUGGGACUGAGACACGGCCCAGACUCCUACGGGAGGCAGCAGUGGGGAAUAUUGCACAAUGGGCGAAAGCCUGAUGCAGCGACGCCGCGUGAGGGAUGAAGGCCUUCGGGUUGUAAACCUCUUUCAGCAGGGAAGAAGCGCAAGUGACGGUACCUGCAGAAGAAGCGCCGGCUAACUACGUGCCAGCAGCCGCGGUAAUACGUAGGGCGCAAGCGUUGUCCGGAAUUAUUGGGCGUAAAGAGCUCGUAGGCGGUUUGUCGCGUCUGGUGUGAAAACUCGAGGCUCAACCUCGAGCUUGCAUCGGGUACGGGCAGACUAGAGUGCGGUAGGGGAGACUGGAAUUCCUGGUGUAGCGGUGGAAUGCGCAGAUAUCAGGAGGAACACCGAUGGCGAAGGCAGGUCUCUGGGCCGCAACUGACGCUGAGGAGCGAAAGCAUGGGGAGCGAACAGG